rnacentral:rRNA from 1 species
CGGCGGACGGGUGAGUAACGCGUGGGUAACCUGCCUCAUACAGGGGGAUAACAGUUGGAAACGGCUGCUAAUACCGCAUAAGCGCACAGUACCGCAUGGUACCGUGUGAAAAACUCCGGUGGUAUGAGAUGGACCCGCGUCUGAUUAGCUAGUUGGUGGGGUAACGGCCUACCAAGGCGACGAUCAGUAGCCGACCUGAGAGGAUGACCGGCCACAUUGGGACUGAGACACGGCCCAA